AUGCUUACCUGGCAGGGUGGACACCAUGAUCACCAAGGUGGUUUUCCCAGAGUGAGGCUUAUCCAUUGCACCCUGGAUGUGCUGUCCCCUGCAAUUUCCCCAAAUGUGGGAAACUUGGCCACAUAAUUUGUGGUAUUGGGGGACUGCAUUCAUGCUCUCCCCUG